ensembl:snRNA U6 U6 spliceosomal RNA
GUGCUCACUUCAGCAGCACACAUACUAAAACUGAGACGAUACAGAGAAGAUUCUCGUGGUCCUUGAGCAAGGAGGAUGGGCACAUUCACAUGUCUCAUGUUUUC